rnacentral:rRNA from 1 species
AACGAACGCUGGCGGCAUGCCUAAUACAUGCAAGUCGAACGAGAUCUUCGGAUCUAGUGGCGCACGGGUGCGUAACGCGUGGGAAUCUACCCUUGGGUUCGGAAUAACAGUUAGAAAUGACUGCUAAUACCGGAUGAUGACGUAAGUCCAAAGAUUUAUCGCCCAAGGAUGAGCCCGCGUAAGAUUAGCUAGUUGGUGAGGUAAAGGCUCACCAAGGCUACGAUCUUUAGCUGGUCUGAGAGGAUGAUUAGCCACACUGGGACUGAGACACGGCCCAGACUCCUACGGGAGGCAGCAGUAGGGAAUAUUGGACAAUGGGCGAAAGCCUGAUCCAGCAAUGCCGCGUGAGUGAUGAAGGCCUUAGGGUUGUAAAGCUCUUUUACCCGAGAUGAUAAUGACAGUAUCGGGAGAAUAAGCUCCGGCUAACUCCGUG